GACGAACCGUCCAAACGUUACUCGGAAUUACUGGGCUUAAAGGGUGCGUAGGCUGCGCAGAAAGUUGGGUGUGAAAUCCCUCGGCUCAACCGGGGAAUUGCAUCCAAAACUACUGUGCUCGAGGUAGACAGAGGUAAGCGGAACUCAAGGUGGAGCGGUGAAAUGCGUUGAUAUCUUGAGGAACACCGGUGGCGAAAGCGGCUUACUGGGUCUCUUCUGACGCUGAGGCUCGAAAGCUAUGGUAGCAAACGGG
rnacentral:rRNA from 1 species